rnacentral:rRNA from 1 species
UACGUAGGGGGCAAGCGUUGUCCGGAAUCAUUGGGCGUAAAGCGCAUGUAGGCGGUCCGGUAAGUCGGUUGUGAAAGUCCAGGGCUCAACCCUGGGAUGCCGACCGAUACUGUCGGACUAGAGUUCGGAAGAGGCGAGUGGAAUUCCCGGUGUAGCGGUGAAAUGCGCAGAUAUCGGGAGGAACACCAAUGGCGAAGGCAGCUCGCUGGGACGUUACUGACGCUGAGACGCGAAAGCGUGGGGAGCAAACAGG